AUGUUUCUGUCUCCAGAUGUGGAGGUGUAGCUGCAUUAAUGUUUCUGUCUCCAGAUGUGGAGGUGUAACUGCAUUAAUGUUUGUGUCUUUCUGUCUCCAGAUGUGGAGAAGCCUGAACCCAGUAUUGGACCUGCAGUGUGUUAAUGUUUGUGUCUUUCUGUCUCCAGAUGUGGAGAAGCCUGAACCCAGUAUUGGACCUGCA